UGCCUCCCUUCCUGGUGCCCCGGCCAAGUUCACCCUUUGCUCGCCGUGGCCGCCGCUAAGUAGACCCCCGGCGGCGACGACGAGGUUCGUGAAGAGGCCAAUCUGGUGUUGUGAAAGAAGGGGGCUGGCCAUGGAGAAGAUCCCACGGCGAGCUCCUCAGGACUGCUUUCAAUGGGGGGAGAAGCUUAGAGAACUUCAAUUAAAUAGAUAUCCAUGAUUUCAUUGCUGUGAAGGAAUUCAAGUUGUCGCACCUGGAGAACUUGCCCAUCAGAGGGAGCAAUGAAGACAUUGUUAAAAUAGUACCAGAUGUGCUCCUACGUGUUGAACAAUGUUAUGUAGUAGUGAGAUAAGGCAAAUUAUGUAGACAUUGUAUUCCUGUGUAAUGAAAUUUUGUAUUACAUGUGUACAUGUUGCUUUAAUGCUUGAUUGUGAAAAUUACUCAA